UGCAUUAUCUGAGAUUGAUGCGUCUUUCUAUCGGUGAACGUCUCGGUCAAAUAAAUGAUCAAUAUUUCAAUAUUGAGGGCGGACCAAGCCCCUAGGGCCCCCCAGUAAUGCCGGCCCUGGAUAUGAGUGAGAGGGGAGAGAGGGAGAGAGGGAGAGAGGUAGGAGGAACUAGUUAGAGGCAGAGAGAGAGACAAUGAGAAUGUGAGAGAGAGGCAGAGACAAUGAGAAUGUGUGUGUGUGAGAGAGAGAGAGAGAGAGAGAGAGAGAGAGAGAGAGAGAGAGAGAGAGAGAGUGAGUUGGGGAAGUAGUGCUCAUCAUUGUAGUGAAGGGUUAAAAUGUAUUAAUAGUGUUGUUAUUAAUUUGCUCACGUGCCAUUGUACUUAUGCUCACUGUAUAGCUGAAUAUUGAGGCCUCUGUUUGUAUCUAGCUCUCUGCCAAAACCCACAGCCCCUCGUCUGUGAGAAAAGCUCCGCCUAUUCAGCCUGACAUCACUAGGACCAGUCCCCGCACCUCUGUCAUAGUCAGCAGGACAACGGUAGUCAUAACAACAGAGAAAGCGGUGAGCAGAAAAUCAUUAACAACAGCAACCCCAACAGAAGCAAUGACACCCGAUUCAGCCGCUGGUAAGAAACCUGUGUGUGUGUGUGUUACUAGUGUGUUAGUGUGUGUACUCCAGGUGUGCUUGUGU
rnacentral:lncRNA from 8 species